UACGUAGGGUGCGAGCGUUGCCCGGAUUUAUUGGGCGUAAAGGGCGCGUAGGCGGCUCUGCACGUCCGUUGUGAAAUCGCCCGGCUCAACUGGGCGGGGUCAGCGGAUACGGCAGAGCUCGAGCAAGCUAGGGGGCAAUGGAAUUCCCGGUGUAGUGGUGGAAUGCGUAGAUAUCCGGAAGAACACCGGUGGCGAAGGCGGCCUGCUGGGCAGUAGCUGACACUGAGGCGCGACAGCGUGGGGAGCAAACAGG
rnacentral:rRNA from 1 species